rnacentral:ncRNA from 1 species
AACAUUACCGGCUAACCCGUUUAUACAUGCAAGCCUCAACAUCCCGGUGAGUUGCGCCAACCGGAAACUCCACUACAGCGCACGCAUCAGACACGUAUUCACACAUCAACGACCGCACCGUACCGCCACACCUCCACAGGUAAUCAGCAGUAACUAAUAUUGGGCCAUAAGCGAAAGCUCGACCCAGCCCCAAGCCACGGGCCGGUAAACCUCGUGCCAGCUACCGCGGUUACACGAGCGGCCCAAGAUAAUGUCAGACGGCGUAAAAAUGACCCGAGCCAAUCAAUAAAAUUAAGGACUAACCAACCUCAGCUGUCCAACGCCAAAUACAACCGGAAGCCCACGCAACCUUAACCCACCCGACUACUUAACUCAUAAAAGCUGAGACACAAACUAGGAUUAGACACCCUACUAUGCUCACGCCUUCACACGGCUAAUGCCCGCCAGACUAGUACGAGCAACCGCUUAAAACUCAAAGGACUUGACGGUGACCCAUAUCAUCCUAGAGGAGCCUGUCCCAUAAUCGAUAAUCCACGCUAACACCUAACCACCCCUAGCCAAUCAGUCUAUAUACCGCCGUCGUCAGUCCCCCCCGCAAUGGAUCAACAGCGGACACAACAGUUCAUACACUAAAACGACAGGUCAACGCGUAGCACACGGGGUGGGCCAAGAUGGGCUACAUUUUCUAACAAGAACACACCACCGGCACAUGAAACACUCACCCUAAAGGUGGAUUUAGCAGUAAGAUGGUCCAGACACCCCACCUGAACACUGCACUGGGGCGCGCACACACCGCCCGUCACCCCCAUCGCCACACCAAACAUCCACAUACAUAAACAUACCACAUACACAGCAGAUGGGGAAAGUCGUAACAUGGUAAGCGUACUGGAAGGUGCGCUUGCACA